CAGGUGUUUUGCAGAAUUGUCGAGGAUGAGAAAGGGAUCCGAGCCUCGAUAUCAGACAGAGGCUCUCCUCGGGGCCCUCAUUGAAUCAGCUGCCGAAAUCAAUCCGGAAUUCACCAUCGACAAUCAAAAUGAUGCCCAUGAAUUCUUCUGCCACUGUCUGACCCAAAUGGAGGAGUCUGGGCAAUUGCAGGGUUGGCAAGAGGAUGCAUACCCUAGAUGUCCCGUCAAGAACAAUUUCAUGUUCCAGAUGAGGAAUAUUAUAACAUGCUCCAGGUACAACACAUAACAAGUUUGGAGGUUGUACAUGAUGCAGAUGAUGGGCAGAUGUUGAUGUAUUUCAUUUGUUGCAGCUGUGGAUCCCAGCAGCAAAACAAAGUGGACGUGUUUAAUCACAUCUCUCUGCCUCUGGUGUACAACUCGGUGGAGCAGUGCCUCUAUGACGCAGUUAAUAAAGCAACAGAGAUAGAGAGCAAAUGCACAACGUGUGGAGGAAAAUUUGCCAGCUCCAGGUGGACGUUCCACACUCUGCC